rnacentral:rRNA from 1 species
AGCCAUAAGAAUCUAUUUCGGGUAGACCCUGCUCAAUGAACAUAGUUUAAAUUGCCGCGGUACCUUGACCGUGCUAAGGUAGCAUAAUCAGUUGACUUUUAAAUGAAGUCUGGAAUGAAAGGGAACACGGGGCUAAACUGUCUCAUUAGCUUACUCCUGAACUUACUAACGGGGUGAAAAGGCCCGAUUAUAAUAAAAGACGAGAAGACCCUUAGAGUUUGAUUUUUUUGUUGGGGCGACAAGUAAUCAUUUAACAUUACUAGGUAAAUGUGACGGUGUUUUCAUGAAUAAAUAAACUACCUGAGGGAUAACAGCAUAAUCUUUUUAGGUUUGUGACCUCGAUGUUGGACUAGGAAGUCUAUAGGCUAGCCGCCUAUAAGAGGGAUUCUGUUCGAAUCUUUACUCCU